rnacentral:rRNA from 1 species
UACGUAGGGUGCGAGCGUUGUCCGGAAUUAUUGGGCGUAAAGAGCUCGUAGGCGGUCUGUCGCGUCUGCUGUGAAAACCCGAGGCUCAACCUCGGGCCUGCAGUGGGUACGGGCAGGCUAGAGUGCGGUAGGGGAGAAUGGAACUCCUGGUGUAGCGGUGGAAUGCGCAGAUAUCAGGAAGAACACCGAUGGCGAAGGCAGUUCUCUGGGCCGUAACUGACGCUGAGGAGCGAAAAGCGUGGGGAGCGAACAGGG